rnacentral:rRNA from 1 species
AGUGAACGCUGGCGGUAGGCCUAACACAUGCAAGUCGAACGGCAGCACAGUAAGAGCUUGCUCUUACGGGUGGCGAGUGGCGGACGGGUGAGGAAUACAUCGGAAUCUACUUUUUCGUGGGGGAUAACGUAGGGAAACUUACGCUAAUACCGCAUACGACCUACGGGUGAAAGCAGGGGAUCUUCGGACCUUGCGCGAUUGAAUGAGCCGAUGUCGGAUUAGCUAGUUGGCGGGGUAAAGGCCCACCAAGGCGACGAUCCGAAGCUGGUCUGAGAGGAUGAUCAGCCACACUGGAACUGAGACACGGUCCAGACUCCUACGGGAGGCAGCAGUGGGGAAUAUUGGACAAUGGGCGCAAGCCUGAUCCAGCCAUACCGCGUGGGUGAAGAAGGCCUUCGGGUUGUAAAGCCCUUUUGUUGGGAAAGAAAAGCGGCAGGUUAAUACCCCGCUGUUCUGACGGUACCCAAAGAAUAAGCACCGGCUAACUUCGUG